AUUGAACGCUGGCGGAAUGCUUUACACAUGCAAGUCGAACGGUAGAGGGGGCAACCCCUCGAGAGUGGCGAACGGGUGAGUAAUAUAUCGGAACGUGCCCAGCCGCGGGGGAUAACGUAGCGAAAGUUACGCUAAUACAGCAUACGAUCGAAGGAUGAAAGCGGGGGAUCGCAGGACCUCGCGCGAUCGGAGCGGCCGAUAUCAGAUUAGGUAGUUGGUGGGGUAAAGGCUCACCAAGCCAACGAUCUGUAGCUGGUCUGAGAGGACGACCAGCCACCCUGGAACUGAGACACGGUCCAGACUCCUACGGGAGGCAGCAGUGGGGAAGUUUGGACAAUGGGCGCAAGCCUGAUCCAGCCAUUCCGCGUGCAGGACGAAGGCCUUCGGGUUGUAAACUGCUUUUGUACGGAACGAAAAGGUUCUGGUUAAUACCUGGGGCUCAUGACGGUACCGUAAGAAUAAGCACCGGCUAACUACAUGCCAGCAGCCGCUGUAA
rnacentral:rRNA from 1 species